rnacentral:rRNA from 1 species
UACAGAGGGGGCAAGCGUUAUUCGGAAUUAUUGGGCGUAAAGGGCGCGUAGGCGGCUUCGCAAGUGGAAGGUGAAAUCCCUCGGCUUAACCGAGGAACUGCCCUCCAACUGCGUUGCUUGAGGCCGGGAGAGGUGAGUGGAAUUCCCAGUGUAGCGGUGAAAUGCGUAGAUAUUGGGAGGAACACCAGUGGCGAAGGCGGCUCUCUGGACCGCAACUGACGCUGAAACACGAAAGCGUGGGUAGCAAACAGG